CUCUCUGGGUCUAUCAGGGUUUGUCUUGGAACUCUGAAACCUUUUCCCGUGCAGGGCUAUGAGGCAAAGGCUGCUCUAACUCGGUUUUUUGGUGCCGACUUAAUGCUCUCUCCUCCUUCUGUGUCAGUUUCCAGCCUUCCUGGUGGUUUCCCCUGGUGCUGGCAGAGUGUGGCGAGUUGUGCUUCCUGCUGGAGAGAGAAGGACCCUGGAAAGCUGCUCUGGGACCACAGCUGUGCCGAGCCUGGGAGUUUGUAUCGGUAAGAGCAGGGUUUGCCCUGGAACUCCAAAACCUUUCCCCGUACCUGGUUAUGAGGCAAAGACUAGUCUCACUUAGUUUGUUUGUGCUGCAUUAACACUUUUUAGUCCUUUUCUAAAGAAAGAAUAAAGAGGGGAACUCGGGCAGCAGCCAAGCAACACCCAGUUACUCUGCAACCAGGUGAAGUGACUUGAAGCUGAUGAGCUGGUCAUUUAGAACUUUGGGGGCUCAAGGCACAGGUGACCACCAGAGACCCCCAAUGGAGCCCCUGAGACCUUAUGAGAGUCUGUGUGUAUGGGAACAGGUGUUGGGAAAUGUCCUGAGUGUGGAACAGGAAUGCAGGGAACAAAGUGAAGCCUCCUGUAAUGCUGAUCCCUCCCCUCAGCUGCAGUGGAGACCCCUCUGUGUGCACUGUGGGAGCUGAUGGCCAGGACAGGCGCUGGGCUGGGAUGAUUGCAGGGUGUUGUCAGCAAGGAAUGCCUGGCUUGUAAAACUGCCCAGCUGAGUGUGAGAGGCUUCUUUGCCGAGCUGCUUUCAGGCAGCCAAAUGGGCCCCAGCAGGGACUCUGUGCCUGCUGUCCCGUGGUUCCCAGGGAUCUCUGGGCCUUCACGCCGGCACCGAGGUGUUCUCGGGAAGGCCCUCAGAUCCCCGGAGCAGUGUGGGACACGGGCACGAUGCCCCUGCCUUUUGGGAGCAGAUUGGGCCCCUGGAGGGACAGUGCUGUUGGUGCCCCCCGGGCUGGGGCACCCCGAGGACUCGAGCGCGCACCCAAAGGAUUCUUCGGGGAGCUCCUCUGGGUGCCCCAAGCUGGGGAGCUCCAAGCAAGGUCCCUGCAAUGGAUUGAGGCAUUCCUGAGAGUAUCAGAGGUGUAGCUGUCUGUCCUGGCCAUGGAGCUCUGGAAUGGGCUGUAAUUGGGUUCUAAAAGUGGUGUUUGGACUGCAAAAGAAGUGUGGGAUUGGGAUUAGGGAAUGAGUGGUGAUGGUACCAUUGGGUGUUUUGUCUUGAGUGGAAUUGUGAGAGCUGCAGGAGUGCAAGGUGUGGGUUCCAGUCCCCAGCAUUUGGUUUGCACAUGUCCUGGUCAGACACAGGUACAGCUUCCUCAGUCCUUAACACAACAGAGGGAGAAUUCAGGAAUGGCACUGUGAAGGUGAUUGGUGUGACAGGGGUUAAAGUGGGAAAACCUUGGGGAAUUCCUCAGCUUUUGUGUUAGCAAGCUCCCUUAAACCCCUGCCAGGAAGACAUUGGGUGGAAAUGUUGAGGCAGAAAUUAAAUUGGAAAAUGGGGAGAUGGAAAUUGUAAUUGCUGAAACUAACUGUGUGAGAGCAGCAGCUCUUCUCGUGCAGGAAAUAACUCCUGUCAGCAGCACCGUCCCGACUGGAGUGGCAGAUGGAGUUGUUCCUGUGGUGUGGGCCAGUGGAAUUCCAGGAGAAUGGACAAGGGCAGACCCUGUAGGUAUUCCCAUGAAGCUGAGAUCUCUCUAGAAUGUGACUGCAAGAACCUGCAAAGAAAUCCAGUGGCAAAGAGGAUUGAUCAGUGCAGGACCUGAGAGAAGCACCUGAGAUGACAACCUUGAGUAGUUGGCAGUCUUAGAUUUCAAGAUGCCCUUUGCUGCAUCUCCAGGAGCAAGGCAAGCCAAGAAACCUUUGCUUUUGAAGGAGAAAAUCCAGAAAUGAGGAAGGAAGAAAAGAAGCCACCUGAGUCCUCCCUGAGCCACAGGCAGUGCAUGAAGUGCCUUCCUGGGAAUGGUGGAAUUGUGGCGACUCUGCAUUGCUCCCUCUGGAUGUGUGGAUGUGGCCUGCAGGAACUGCAGGAAUUGACGGUGACGCCUCGGCCGAUGGAUUGGACGCCCCAGCCCGUGCGUUCCUGCCCAGCCCUUGGGUCCCUGUCAAGUGGUGGGACUGCCAGCCCCUGCAGGGGGCUGUGACAUUGAAACUGCAGAGAGCUGAGCCAGGGGAUUGAAAGGGACUGAGCCAGGGAGGUGAAGAAAGAAGGAAGAAGGGAAGUGAGGCAGCAGCCAAGCAGCACCAAGUUCCUCUGUCAGCAGCAGCUCUUCUCGUGCAGGAAAUAACUCCUGUCAGCAGCACCGUCCCGACUGGAGUGGCAGAUGGAGUUGUUCCUGUGGUGUGGGCCAGUGGAAUUCCAGGAGAAUGGACAAGGGCAGACCCUGAACAAGGCAAACCAAGAAACCUUCGCUUUUGAAGGAGAAAAUCCAGAAAUGGGGAAGGAAGAAAAGAAGCCACCUGAGUCCUCCCUGAGCCACAGCCAGACCAUGAAGUGCCUUCCUGGGAAUGGGAGGAUGGUGAGGACUCUGCAUUGCUCCCUCUGGAUGUGUGGAUGUGCCCAGCAGGAACUCCAGGAAUUGACGGUGACGCCUCGGCCGAUGGAUUGGACGCCCCAGCCCGUGCGUUCCUGCCCAGCCCUUGGGUCCCUGUCAAGUGGUGGGACUGCCAGCCCCUGCAGGGGGCUGUGGCAUGGAAAGUGCAGAGAGCCGAGCCAGGGGAUUGAAAGGGACUGAUCCAGGGAGGUGAAGAAAGAAGGAAGAAGGGAAGUGAGGCAGCAGCCAAGCAGCCCCAAGUUCCUCUGUGAGCAGGUGAGUUGUCUUGAGGUUCCUAAGGCAGGCCCUUGGGACUUUGGGGACUCCAGACAGAGAAGACCGUGGAAGCCCCUUGGAGGAGCCCCUCAAAUACCUUCCAAGGUAGGUGUGGAUGGUAAUAAGUGCUGGGCAAUGUCCUGAGUGUGGAACAGGAAUGCAGGGAACAAAGUGAAACCUCCUGUAAUGCUGAUCCCUCCCCUCAUCUGCAGUGGAGACCCCUCUGUGUGCACUGUGGGAGCUGAUGGCCAGGACAGGCAGUGGGCUGGGAUGAUUGCAGGGUGCUGUCAGCAAGGAAUGCCUGGCUUGUAAAACUGCCCAGCUGAGUGUGAGAGGCUUCUUUGCCGAGCUGCUUUCAGGCAGCCAAAUGGGCCCCAGCAGGGACUCUGUGCCUGCUGUCCCGUGGUUCCCAGGGAUCUCUGGGCCUUCACGCCGGCACCGAGGUGUUCUCGGGAAGGCCCUCAGAUCCCCGGAGCAGUGUGGGACACGGGCACGAUGCCCCUGCCUUUUGGGAGCAGAUUGGGCCCCUGGAGGGACAGUGCUGUUGGUGCCCCCCGGGCUGGGGCACCCCGAGGACUCGAGCGCGCACCCAAAGGAUUCUUCGGGGAGCUCCUCUGGGUGCCCCGAGCUGGGGAGCUCCAAGCAAGGUCCCUGCAAUGGAUUGAGGCAUUCCUGAGAGUAUCAGAGGUGUAGCUGUCCGUCCUGGCCAUGGAGCUCUGGGAUGGGCUGUAAUUGGGUUCUAAAAGUGGUGCUCUGACUGCAAAAGAAGUGUGGGAUUGGGAUUAAGGAAUGAGUGGUGAUGGUACCAUUGGGUGUUCUGUCUGGAGUGGAAUUGUGAGAGUUGCAGGAGUGCAAGGUGUGGGUUCCAGUCCCAGCAUUUGGUUUGCACAAGUCCUGUUCAGACAAAGGUACAGCUUCCUCUAUCUCUAACACAACAGAGGGAGAAUUCAGGAAUGGCACUGUGAAGGUGUUUGGUGUGACAGGGGUUAAAGUGGGAAACCCUUGGGGAAUUCCUCAGAAUGUCUAUUUGCCAGAGUUACCCAAACCACUGCCAGGAAGAGAUUGGUUGGAGAAGUUGAGGCAGGUAUUAAAUUCAAAACUGGUGAGUUGAUUGAAUUGUAGUUGCUGAAACUAACUGUGUGAGAGCAGCUGCUCUUCUCGUGCAGGAAAUAACUCCUGUCAGCAGCACCGUCCCGACUGGAGUGGCAGAUGGAGUUGUUCCUGUGGUGUGGGCCAGUGGAAUUCCAGGAGAAUGGACAAGGGCAGACCCUGAGGAAGGCAAGCCAAGAAACCUUUGCUUUUGAAGGAGAAAAUCCAGAAAUGAGGAAGGAAGAAAAGAAGCCACCUGAGUCCUCCCUGAGCCACAGCCAGUGCAUGAAGUGCCUUCCUGGGAAUGGGAGGAUGGUGAGGACUCUGCAUUGCUCCCUCUGGAUGUGUGGUAAGACUGAUGCAAACUUUGGAAACCACCUGUAAGAGUUUGCUGCCUUGGAUAGAUGGUGCAAGGGCAGCCUUUAGGCAGCUCAGGCAUUCCCUGAGGAGAGCUCUGGCUCUGCCACUUCUCGUGGGUGGUUGGCCCCUUGCCCUGCAGUGGGGCACGCACAGACUGUUGCCAUGAGGUGAGGAACGGGCGCUGUUUGGCUGCCACUCCAGCAUCACCUUAUACUACGUCCUGGCCCUACGUAGUGUAAUGUGGAGCUGAUCCAUGGGGUGUCAGGACUGCUGGCUGGAGCGAUGCUCAUCCUUCCAUCGACACUGUGUUGCUGGCGGGGACGCCCGCUAAGCAUGAGUGCCGCCCAGCCCUGCAGAGCCUGGGAGCCCUGGCCUGUCUGUGCAGGGGAGCACAGUUUAGUGAGAGGAAGAACCCAGAAAGCAAACACUUCACAUCCUUUUCCUUGGAUCCCUUUAAUUCCCUUUAUACUAGCUAAUAUUGGAUCCCUUUAAUUCCCUUUGUACUAGCUAAUAUUGGAUCCCUUUAAUUCCCUUUGUACUAGCUAAUAUUGGAUCCCUUUAAUUCCCUUUGUACUAGCUAAUAUUGGAUCCCUUUAAUUCCCUUUGUACUAGCUAAUAUUGGAUCCCUUUAAUUCCCUUUGUACUAGCUAAUAUUGGAUCCCUUUAAUUCCCCUUGCACUAACUAAUACUUUAAUAGAGGCUGUUCGUAGCAUUGUAUGAACACCAAGAGAUAAAGUAGUUUUUUUGUAUUCUUUUUAACUUUUGAUUCUCUUUGCUAAUAGUUUUGUUUUUAACUCUCACUGCAAUAAAGGAUAUUUUGUAGUGUU